rnacentral:rRNA from 1 species
UACAGAGGGGGCAAGCGUUAUUCGGAAUUAUUGGGCGUAAAGGGCGCGUAGGCGGUUUUUUAAGUCGGAUGUGCAAUCCCCAGGCUCAACCUGGGAACUGCAUCCGAGACUGGAAGGCUAGAGUACUGGAGAGGGUGGUGGAAUUCCUCGUGUAGCGGUGAAAUGCGUAGAGAUCGGGAGGAACACCAGUUGCGAAGGCGGCUCUCUGGACCAGCACUGACACUGAGGCACGAAAGCGUGGGGAGCAAACAGG